rnacentral:rRNA from 1 species
UGGCGGCAGGCCUAACACAUGCAAGUCGAACGGUAACAGGAUAGCUUGCUAUCGCUGACGAGUGGCGGACGGGUGAGUAAUGCUUGGGUAUCUGGCUUUGUGAGGGGGAUAACGUACUGGAAACGUAGCUAAUACCGCAUAACACCUACGGGUCAAAGGGGGCUUCGGCUCUCGCGCAAAGAUGAGCCCAAGUGAGAUUAGCUAGUUGGUGGGUAAGGGCCUACCAAGGCGACGAUCUCUAGCUGUUCUGAGAGGAAGAUCAGCCACACUGGGACUGAGACACGGCCCAGACUCCUACGGGAGGCAGCAGUGGGGAAUAUUGCACAAUGGGGGCAACCCUGAUGCAGCCAUGCCGCGUGUGUGAAGAAGGCCUUCGGGUUGUAAAGCACUUUCAGAUGUGAGGAAAGGAUGUAUGUUAAUACCAUGCAUCUGUGACGUUAACAUCAGAAGAAGCACCGGCUAACUCCGUG